rnacentral:lncRNA from 1 species
ACCUGCGUCCUGGGGCUGCAGAGACACCACUGAGCCUGUUGUGCCAACGUGGGAACUCCCUUUCCCCUUAAUUUUGCUGUGAGCCUAAAACUGCUCUUAAAAUAGAAAAUCUUUUUUUUUUUUUUUAAGUCACAUAUCUUUUUUUUUUUUUUUUUUUUUUUUUUUUUGGUCUUUUUGCCUUUGUUCUAAUGGCCGCUCCCUCGGCAUAUGGAGGUUCCCAGGCUAGGGGGCGAAUCGGAGCUGUAGCCGUCGGCCUACACCACGCACAGCUCAUGGCAACGCCGGAUCCUUAACCCAUGGAGCAAGGCCAGGGAUCGAAUCUGCAACCUCAUUUUUCCUAGUCAGAUUCGUUAACCACUGAGCCACGAUGGGAACUCCUAAGUCACAUACCUUAACGUGGGCAAGAGUUUUCUCAUGUGAUUCACUGUAUUGGACUUUCCAUUAUUAAAAGAGAAGACAUUUUAAAAGACUCGAAUCAGGAGCGUAUGGAUAAAAGUAGAUGGUCUGUGGCCGGCUGGCGUGGUGCCCACAUGAUCCGUCGAGGGAAGGGCUACUCCCCCUGCGGACCGGGCGCAGACCAGCCCUCAGCAGGGCUCCGGAGACCUUGAGAAGUACCCAUCAAAGGAGCCACCCCAGGCCGACGUCACCUAGAAUCCGGCACCCGGCCAUGGCCCUCCCCUCCCCCAGGUGUAAGGUGGCCGAUGUUCCUGGGAGCAUCCGUGUGCAAAGUGUGAGCUGUCAGGCACCCGUGGAGACCACCAGAGCUCUUUCUGGGAGCAGGAGCUGAUGGAGAGGAGGGGGCCGGCGACAGGUGCAGGGCACCAGGUUGGGAAGGCGCUCCCCCCACCAGGCAUGGCCUCCGGGUACAGCUUGGUGGGGCUUGUGUGGGGACAGCCAGCAAGCAGGAGGCUGGUGGGUCCUGCUUGUUACACCAAACCCCAGUCAGCGACACCACCCCCUCACCCCGGAAAGGCUGAGAGUGUUGGCAUCGAGUCCCUGUGGCCACCCAGCCAACUCCUAGACCCACACAUCCUACGAGAAGUCUGCCCCUCUCGCCUCAAAACGGCCUUGGGCGCCAGCUUCCUGGACAAAGCUGGCUCCUGGGCCUGAUUCCAGUACUUUUCAUGUGUCCCUGGUGAUGGAGGCCCCGUAUUUCUUGGGUCUGAACUGUUCCUGAUGGGACCCCAGGUGUUCAGUCCAGGGACAGUGCCCGAAAAGAAGUGGUGGCCCCAGGAGGCCACAGGACCACUGGCCCUGCAGGGUACCAGUUCUGCGCAGGACACGUUGACAUCGGCGGGCCCUGCUCACACCCACAUCCCCGCAGGCGGCAGCAGGGCGGCUGGGGUGUGGCCACAGCUCCCGCUGGAAGCGGUCCCUUUCCUCUUGGAAGCCACCCUGGGCUGCUUCUCGAUGGGGACGUGGUGGGAAAGGCUUCAGGCUGGAAUCAAGAAACCUUCCUUUUACAACUCUCUCUCUUUUUAGACCUCAAUGUCUUCACCUUAAAGCUAAAGCAAAUGCCUGCCGCGCCUGCAUCCUGGAGGGCUGUGAGGCCAGAUGGGGUGGAAACGUUUGGGCACUGCAUGGAAUUUUCCGGAUUUAAGGAAUCUGCCUGACCUGCCGCUGGUCCGGCGGUUGUCACAGAAGUCCCCCCAGCCACUGGACAGGGAGCCCAGAGUUCCCCGGUGGCUCAGUGGGUAAAGGAUCUGGCAUUGUCAUCACUGUGGCUCUGGUCACUGCUGUGGUACAGGUUUGAUUCCUGGCUCUGGAACUUCUGUAUGCCAUGGGCGAAGUCAAAAAACAAAACAAAACUAUUUUAUAGGAAACCCUAAAUACUUGGGAAGGGCAUUUCGAGAGCACCAAGAAGAAACAUCAAGAAAAGAUCACACAGCCUUAAAAGAGGUGCUGGCCACUCCUGCCAUGGGAGCCCAGGCCGGCCUCUCCGAUGGACAAACCACAGGAAGGAAAGAGUGGGUGUGUCUGACCCUGUGGGCCCACGGGCUGCACGUGGACUCCCCCACCCCCCCGUGAGACACAGCGGCACUGGUACUGGAUACACCCACCCCCUCUCAGCAGCGGCCUGGGUGUUCAGAGGCAGGAGGACAGGGUGGACACCCGCAGAUCAGCACUUUGCUAAACCCCUGGGGUUGGGAGGGGCGCACAGUCACGCGCCCCCUGUGUCAGAGGGCAAGUUCAGGGUCAGAGAGCGUGUGAGGGGAGGUGGGACACGGCAGGUCCUUGGCUGUAAGGCUCUUCCUGGCUUGUGGCUGCAAACUGCAGGUCACCCCCUGGGAAGAGGCAGCUGUGCCCCAAAAGCCUGCUUGGCACAUGGGUACUAGGACCCACCAGGCUGGCUUUUAAGGCUGUGAAAAGCCAGCGGGGUGGAGGAUGCUGGGGGCUUCUGAGCUCCCUGCGGGCAGCGGCCACGGUCCAGACCAGGUCCCACGUGUCCCCGCGGCAACACGCCUGGCAGCGACCGGUCAGGCCGGGAUGGGGUGUGUGAGUGUGAGACCCCUCGCUCCUGAUUCCUCCCUGGCCCAAAUCUCCAUCCUAAUUAUGCUUCUGCGCGUCUCCCUUUGGGAUGGGGCAUUCGACACUCCACGAGUUGCAUGUAAUUAGACGCAGUGGAGCAUGCUGGAGGUUCUGUUUUAUUAAAGGAAAAUGGAAAUAAAUGCACCUCGGAGAGGAGAUGAAACCAUGAAGUCGCAGAGAAAGGAAUGAGCCCGAAGGUUCUCUGCGCUGUGCUCGGUAUGGAUUCCUCAGGUUACCAGUGAAAUGGUCUUUGAAAGCCAUUUUCUUUAUUUCCCCCCCUUUUGAACUGAUUCUCUCCAACCAUCCAGCACAGAUUCAGAACCAUUAACCUGGAAAAGAGGGGAAAAGUGAAGGUCGCCUUGGUAACGGGAGGCUUUGAGCGGCGGCAUCUCACCGCCUGGCGGAUCUGAUCCUGAGUUCUGGAACUGCUCUGGCGGCCAGGCUCUCCGCAUCCUUGCCUGGAGGCCCCCAGAAGCUUGAGAAAGACCACCCAACAGCCCCGAGUCACAGGACCCACUCCGCCCGGGGACACAGCCCUGCCUGUCCCUCAGGAGUCGUAAGCUGCUCUUGGUGUCUGCUGCAAACCUGCCGUCUCCCUAUUUUAUCCUCAAGUCUUUGUUUAGAUCAUCAGAAAGGAUUUGGGAAAUAAAAUAGUCCCCUUUGACCCAGGAACUCCCCCCAGCGUCUAGCCGAACGAACUCACCUGCAAGAUGGAAACACCUUGGGCCUGAAGUGUUUAGGACAGCGUUUUUAGACUGGCGACAGGACAGCGUUUUUAGACUGGCGACAGACGGCAGCUUGGACAUAAAACAGGAGGAGGAAGAUGAUGUAACUUAUAGACUCUACAAGACAUAGGUGAGGAUGCAAUCCGCAGAACUCUAACUGACACUAUGUGGCAACAGAGAAGAACACAUCUCACAAUCUCAAGUCUUCAAAGAAUACAAAAUAACACACGUAGUCUGUAAAAUACCCGCCUUGGGAGCCAGGAGGAAUGUACCAAAGAAUCUGAGUCAUGGUGUCAGGUGAAAUAUGCAUCCCUCUGCCUUUCUAACUCUUAAAAUGAGUAGCUCCUCUAACUUUUUAAAACAUAAGCCAACAUCCUCAUUAUUUAGAAAGGCUUCUUCCUAGUUUUUAAUAAUAAUAAUAAAAAAUAACCUGUUAGGAAUGGGCUCAAGUGAGUCGGGAAAAAUAAGAGUUGAGCUUUUUCAAAUUUGGAAAAAGACCUCUUCUCACCAGAGCAUGAAAAUUGCUCUUCUUCCUACCCUGAUUUUGUUUUUGCUUUUCUAGGUAAAAUGCUAAUUUUGAUGAUCUCUUUAUGUUGCUUAAGACUGCCUCCCCACACAACCUCUGGGCGGCGAGGUGACUAUUCUCCAAUGGACUCUCUUACUGUGGUGGAUCAUGGCCCUGCCCGCACACCUGCCCCUCAGAAGAGCAUCGGGAGUUAGGACCAGCAGAGACGCUGGACUUCCCCCUCCAGUGUUUCCAAAAGUGGGGGCCUUUGGGGGAGGAGAGGUAUGGGCCGUGUUUUACUUACUUCUUCAAUUCACUUUGGGUUGAUAAUUGCAUCCUAGCUCUACAUAUAAGUCAUUUAGGAGUUCCCCGGCGGCUUAGGGGUUAAGGGUCUGCUGUUGUCACUGCUACAGUACAGGUUGGAUGCCUGAUCCGGGAGCUUCUACAUGCCACACGCAUGGAGAAGUCAUAAUAAAUGUAAGGCAUUUAUACUUGGUUUUAUAAUUAUAUAUAUUUUGGAAUCACUACAUUAGAAAUACUUUCAAGCAACCCUGGGGAGCAUGCGAAUCCUUCCUUUAGAAGGGAUCAGCCCUUAGGAAGCCUCCACCUCCUUAGGUGGUGAGGACGCCUGAGUUCCAGGGAAGAGAGAGGUGGAGCCCUGCUCCUGGGGGUGGGGAGACGAGGCAGGGUUUAGAAGCUCCGUCUGGCACUGCUCUGCCACAGUGCCUGUCACAGGGCUGAGAGCUCAGGAGUGGUGUGGCUUCCUGAUGCCAGCAUUCCCACGACGGUCAGAUUCGUAAUCCAGCCAGGACCUCUCCUCCCAGCUCCACACUGACACCCCGAGCUGCACACCUGACAGCUCAUCCUGGACAUCUCAGACGUGACACAGUGAAGGCAGGGUCCUUCCCAGGAUGGGGACACCCCCCCACCCCUCGGUCCAAACUCUAGUCGGGCUGCCCUGAGCCUUUUUCUCAACCAAGGGGCUCCUCCUCCCCCCAUCUUUACUGUGGGGGGAAUACACACGACGGAGAAUUUCCGCCAUGUUCAGUGGCAUCAAAGCACUUUCUCAAAGUUGUGCAACCAUCACGGUUGUCUAAGGCUCGAACUUCUACUUCUCCAUCACCUCCGGUGGAAACCCGCAUCCAGGAGGCAACCGCUUUCCACUCCCCUCCGCGAUCCCCCGACCCCCAGUGCCUGGCAGCCGCUCAUAUGCAUCCUGUCUGUGUGGAUUUGCCUGUUCCGAAUAUAUCACAGAAAUGGAGUCAUA